rnacentral:lncRNA from 1 species
CAGCCCUCAACUCCCGGUCGGGUUGUCUCCCCGCCGGUCUCCCGCCCCCAGCUACCGGGUCCGCCAGGGUCAGGAGCCCGAGAUUCGCCGCCCGUCGUAGCGGCCCGCUUCGGCCCCUCGGGGCCCGGGGCUCUCCGGGACCUACACAGCCCGGGAGACUCCGGCGGGGCCGCCUGCCCUCGCCCGAGCCCGGGGGCCCAGGCUGCGGCAGCGGCUCCCAACGCCUCUGCUCGAGGAGAGCGGCGGCCUGGAUGCCCCAGCGCCCUCCCUGUCCAGUUCCUUGAAGGCCCCCAAGAGGGGCGAGGCCGGGGAGGUGCUGGAGCGGGGCCAAGUGAGCUUUCGGGGCCGCGGUUGAACUGGAGUCUUGAGUGCGCUGCGGUCAGUAGAGGCCCUUCCACCCUCGCCGCGCCCCGUGGGGAAUAGUCCCCCACCUCCCGCCAUGGCUGCAGCAGGAGGAGACGACGUCCUCCAUUUUGUCGGGACAACUGUGGGAACUUGGGACCCCUCAAAACCAAACCCCGUGGGGCCAGGACUUGUCCCGGAAGCCCCGACUGGGCUCUGCCAUUCGGACAAGGGAACAGCCCCAGCUGCCGGCGUCUGCGUCCGCGGGGCAGUACUGGUCGGGCGCGACGGUGGAGACACCCAGACGCAGCUCCCCGCCUCCAUCAACCAAGAUGGAGGGAGCUGCAGGCUCCCUUGGAGCUGGGCUCUCGCGGGUUGGAGGGGCUGAGGCCUGCCCUGGGGCGUCCCUGGGCGCCGCCGUCCUGUGCUAGCAGCCCGGGGCGCUGGCCCUGCCUAGGCCUCUUUACUGCCUGCCACCGUCUCCUGGUCCGGAAUGGUUGAUGGAGGCUCCCUCCACAGCCCGCUCCAUCGCGGGGCGCACCCGCUGCGGCCCCUGGGGGGAGCAGAGUCAGGGACAGACGGCGCCCGGUGAGGGCGGGCCCCACAGGCCACCUCCACGAGGGGUCUUCUCUUUUGUUCCUCGUCUACACCUACGUCUUCGGCGGAUGUCAUGGUGCUGAACCAUUUCCAGGACUCCACGUAAAGAUGGAAGCGAUUCCGCUUUCGUCUCGCCCUGGCGGUUCUUAGUGGGAUUACAAUUGAGGAUGUUAGUUUGGAUGAAAGUUGGUGAAAUACUUACCUUAUGUCUGGAAAUACAGAUAAUGUGAUUUUUAAAAAA